rnacentral:rRNA from 1 species
GAUGAACGCUGGCGGCGUGCCUAAUACAUGCCAGUCGAGCGAACAGACGAGGAGCUUGCUCCUCUGACGUUAGCGGCGGACGGGUGAGUAACACGUGGAUAACCUACCUAUAAGACUGGGAUAACUUCGGGAAACCGGAGCUAAUACCGGAUAAUAUAUUGAACCGCAUGGUUCAAUAGUGAAAGACGGUUUUGCUGUCACUUAUAGAUGGAUCCGCGCCGCAUUAGCUAGUUGGUAAGGUAACGGCUUACCAAGGCAACGAUGCGUAGCCGACCUGAGAGGUGGCUCGGCCACAGGGAAACUGAGACGCGCCCCAGACCCCGAGGGGGGGCAGAAGGGGGAAAUCUCCAGAAGGGGGCAAAGGCUUGAGGGAGCAACGCCGCGUGAGUAAGAAAGGUCUUCGAAUCGAAAACCUUUUUUAUGGGGAAAAAAAAAAUGUGAAAGAAACUAUCCCCGUUUGGAGGGUACUAAUACAGAAAGCCACGCCAAAAUACGU